rnacentral:hammerhead_ribozyme from 1 species
AUCCAGCUGAUGAGUCCCAAAUAGAACGAAAAGUGCAUCCAGGAU